rnacentral:rRNA from 1 species
GAUGAACGCUGGCGGCGUGCCUAAUACAUGCAAGUCGAGCGAACAGACGAGGAGCUUGCUCCUCUGACGUUAGCGGCGGACGGGUGAGUAACACGUGGAUAACCUACCUAUAAGACUGGGAUAACUUCGGGAAACCGGAUCUAAUACCGGAUAAUAUAUUGAACCGCAUGGUUCAAUAGUGAAAGACGGUUUUGCUGUCACUUAUAGAUGGAUCCGCGCCGCAUUAGCUAGUUGGUAAGGUAACGGCUUACCAAGGCAACGAUGCGUAGCCGACCUGAGAGGGUGAUCGGCCACACUGGAACUGAGACACGGUCCAGACUCCUACGGGAGGCAGCAGUAGGGAAUCUUGCGCAAUGGGCGAAAGCUUGACGGAGCAACGCCGCGUGAGUGAUGAAGGUCUUCGGAUCGUAAAACUCUGUUAUUAGGGAAGAACAAAUGUGUAAGUAACUAUGCGCGUCUUGACGGUACCUAAUCAGAAAGCAACGGCUAACUACGUG